rnacentral:tRNA from 3 species
GGGCCCGUAGCUUAGUCUGGUAAAGCGUCGGGCUUUUAACCCGAAGAUCGGGGGUUCGAAUCCCCCCGGGCCCG